UUCAAAUUUAGAUGCCUUUAGAUUUGUAUUAAAAUCGGAAUGGAGAGUUCACCAUGAGACAAUAUUUGAUGGAGCAUGGGAAAAUAGAUUUAUAAUUCAAUUCAAAUCUAUGCAGGAUAAGCUAAGAAUUUUACACACUUGACCAUGGACUUUUGAUAAUGAUUUAAUUGUUAUAAUGCCUAUAAAAGAUUCAUAAAGCAUAUUAACCAUCCCUUUUACUCAUGAAGCAUUAUGGAUUCAACUACAUGAUCUCCCUUUUAUGUAUGUCACGAAAAAUGGUUAUGACGAUUGGCAAGUCUACUGGGGAUGUGCUUGAGUCUGAUAGUGAGAAUGGAAAUGGCUAAAUGGGGCCACGUAUGCGAAUCAAGGCGCGUAUUGAUAUAACGAAACCACUCCAACAUAGAGUGAUGCUUCAAAUCCCUGAUAACAAAGAGGGUGGAAUAAAGUUUGUUUGGAAUGCUUAAUGCUGCAAAUGGGUUCUGAUCAAUCAUGGAUCGUGAGUAUUAUGGACUGCAUUUCUUCGGUGAGUUUCUCUGUCAUGGUUGAUACCAAAGUGUCAGAUUGUUUCCUUCCAAAACGGGGCCUUAGAUAGUGUGAUCCCUUGUCCCCAUAUAUUUUUAUUGUUUGUGCUAAAUAUUGUUCCUCCCUUAUUACGGCAGAAGCUAUGGAUAGAAAUUUUGUGGGGUGUAAAGUGUCCAUGUGGAGUCCGAGCAUUUCCCACCCAUUUAUGUAUAGCAGAUGAUAGCUUUGCUCAUUUGUAAUGCUUCUGUUGGGGCGUGUGCUCGUAUCAUGAAUAUUUUGGUUAUCUAUGCUAGCACGUUUUUAACAAAAAUUAUAUUUAGUUUAUUUUUUAUAUUAUUUUA